rnacentral:rRNA from 1 species
AUGCCGCCUUGGGAAGGCACUGCUUCCUCUUGCCCUUUCCGUUGCCGACGACGGAAAUGGUCUGGGUGGAGGUCGGCCGACGGGCCCCGACCUGGAGUGAUUGGGGGCGCCGCUCAGAAGUGGCUGGCGGCUGCGGUCAAUUGGGUGCUCGGCGGCGCCGCUCUGGAGCGGUGGAGGGCGACUGCAGCUCGGCUCGGCGUGGAGGGCGACUGCAGCACGGCUCGGCGUGGAGGGCGACGGCGGUACUGCUCGGGAUGGAGGGAGGUCGGCGGCGGUGUGAUGGCUGGGGGCGGCGGCGGCAGUGGUCUGGUGGCGGGCGGGGGCGGCGGCGGCGGCGAUCUGGUGGAGCGCACGAAGGAUUUGGGCGUCGAUUUGGGGGCGGCGCUGCUAUUUGGCUUUUUCUGGGGGCGCUGUUAUCUGGUAGAGGGCUGGCGCGUACGCGUUUGUUUUGGGCCAAAAUUUGGUCAGUCGCGCGCUUUCCCACCGCGCUAA